rnacentral:rRNA from 1 species
UACGGGGGGGGCAAGCGUUGUUCGGAAUUACUGGGCGUAAAGGGUGCGUAGGCGGUCCGCUAAGUUGGAUGUGAAAACUCUGGGCUUAACCCAGAGCCUGCAUUCAAAACUGACGGGCUAGAGUUCUGGAGGGGGUAGCGGAAUUCCUGGUGUAGCGGUGAAAUGCGUAGAUAUCAGGAGGAACACCGGUGGCGAAGGCGGCUACCUGGACCAUUACUGACGCUGAGGCGCGAAAGCUAGGGGAGCAAACGGG